rnacentral:rRNA from 1 species
GUCCACGCCGUAAACGAUGGGUGCUAGGUGCUGCGGGCUUUGACCCCUGCUGUGCCGUAGCUAACGCAUUAAGCACCCCGCCUGGGAAGUACGGCCGCAAGGCUAAAACUCAAAGGAAUUGACGGGGGCCCCGCACAAGCGGUGGAGCAUGUGGUUUAAUUCGACGCAACGCGAAGAACCUUACCUGGGCUAGAAAACAUAGGAACCCUACUGAAAAGCGGGGGUGCUCUUCGGAGAACCUGUGGUUAGGUGCUGCAUGGCUGUCGU